rnacentral:rRNA from 1 species
UAGUCCACGCUGUAAACGAUGUCUACUUGGAGGUUGUUGUCUUGAAUGAUGGCUUUCGGAGCUAACGCGUUAAGUAGACCGCCUGGGGAGUACGGUCGCAAGAUUAAAACUCAAAUGAAUUGACGGGGGCCCGCACAAGCGGUGGAGCAUGUGGUUUAAUUCGAUGCAACGCGAAGAACCUUACCUACUCUUGACAUCCAGAGAAGCUUGCAGAGAUGCGAGUGUGCCUUCGGGAACUCUGAGACAGGUGCUGCAUGGCUGUCGUCAGCUCGUGUUGUGAAAUGUUGGGUUAAGUCCCGCAACGAGCGCAACCCUUAUCCUUGUUUGCCAGCACGUAAUGGUGGGAACUCCAGGGAGACUGCCGGUGAUAAACCGGGNGGAAGGUGGGGACGACGUCAAGUCAUCAUGGGCCCUUACGAGUAGGGGCUACACACGUGCUACAAUGGCGUAUACAGAGUGCAGCGAGACCGCGAGGGUGGAGCGAAUCACACAAAGUAC